CCUACGGGGGGCAGCAGUGAGGAAUAUUGGUCAAUGGACGAGAGUCUGAACCAGCCAAGUAGCGUGAAGGAUGACUGCCCUAUGGGUUGUAAACUUCUUUUAUAUGGGAAUAAAAUGUUCCACGUGUGGGAUUUUGUAUGUACCAUAUGAAUAAGGCUCGGCUAACUCCGUGCCAGCAGCCGCGGUUAUACGGAGGAUCCGAGCGUUCUCCGGGUUUAUUGGGGUUAAAGGGAGCGUAGGUGGAUUGUUAAGUCAGUUGUGAAAGUUUGCGGCUCAACCGUAAAAGUGCAGUUGAAACUGGCAGUCUUGAGUACAGUAGAGGUAGGCGGAAUGCGUGGUGUAGCGGUGAAAUGCUUAGAUAUCACGAAGAACUCCGAUUGCGAAGGCAGUUCACUGGACUGCAACUGACACUGAGGCUCGAAAGUGUGGGUAUCAAACAGGAUUAGAUACCCCAGUAGUC
rnacentral:rRNA from 1 species